CUUUGAAAAGCCAGAAUCCUGGUAUAGGUUACAUUUCACGUGACUAAGGUGGACUGUCCGCUCUCCACAUAUUACGUUCAGCACAGCCACAGGGGAACAUCACGAGCACAGCUAAAAUACAGGGGAAUCUGUGCUGAUUUGCGUAUCUGGCAGAGAGCAGGUUAACCACACAGGAAAGCACAAGCAGGAAAGCAGGCAUUCCAGGCUGGUGUCAUGGGAGAACUGUGCACAUUUCUAAUGGACCACAAAAUGCAGUAGUGAGGUGUUCGGCGCAAAAGCGAGUGCUCGCGCCAAGUGAUGACAUCACACGAGGCCGGCGGUCUAAUCGCGUGGCGCUUCAGUCAGUGUCCAAUUAGGCCCCCUUCCCUUUCCCUCAGCCAUCAAGCCCUAUCGCGGGCCGAUGCAGAGCCCGGUCCAAACACAACAUCCUCUUGUUUCUCCUGGCACGGCUCAGCCCAGCCUCUCAUCAGCGUCUCUGGUCUCCAGCACCGACCCCUUCGCUAAAACCACCACCGUGUUUGCAUGUGCCACGUGGGUCUUGUGUAUUAUGUUUGUGUGUUGUGUGCGUGUGUGUGUGUGUCUGUGUGUGCACAUGUGUGCACUUCGGUCUUUUGUAUUAUGUGGGUAUUGU
ensembl:lncRNA